AGUGAACGCUGGCGGUAGGCCUAUCACAUGCAAGUCGAACGGCAGCACAGUAAGAGCUUGCUCUUACGGGUGGCGAGUGGCGGACGGGUGAGGAAUACAUCGGAAUCUACUUUUUCGUGGGGGAUAACGUAGGGAAACUUACGCUAAUACCGCAUACGACCUACGGGUGAAAGCAGGGGAUCUUCGGACCUUGCGCGAUUGAAUGAGCCGAUGUCGGAUUAGCUAGUUGGCGGGGUAAAGGCCCACCAAGGCGACGAUCCGUAGCUGGUCUGAGAGGAUGAUCAGCCACACUGGAACUGAGACACGGUCCAGACUCCUACGGGAGGCAGCAGUGGGGAAUAUUGGACAAUGGGCGCAAGCCUGAUCCAGCCAUACCGCGUGGGUGAAGAAGGCCUUCGGGUUGUAAAGCCCUUUUGUUGGGAAAGAAAAGCAGCAGGUUAAUACCCCGCUGUCCUGACGGUACCCAAAGAAUAAGCACCGGCUAACUUCGUG
rnacentral:rRNA from 1 species